rnacentral:pre_miRNA from 1 species
AAAGUACUCCCUCCAUCCCAAAAUUCUUGUCUUAGAUUUGUCUAGAUACAGAUGUAUCAAGUCACAUUUUAGUAUUAGAUGCAUCCGUAUCUAGACAAAUCUAAGACAAGAAAUUUGGGACAGAGGGAGUAGUUG